UCUUGUUGAGAGAGAUGAUGGAGAUUACACCUGUUCCCAUGUCGCAACACAGAAGUAAGCUCCAUCUACGGCGGAAUAGUGGGGGUGCCCCCCUGGGAGAUUUAUGCGAGGU
rnacentral:rRNA from 1 species